AUUAAUCUUAUGGAGAAAUAUAGUAAAAUUCAAUAAAGAUUUUAUGGUUAGUCUUUUGACAUUCAAUAAAGUUCUUUCCCUUUCCUGAUAGGUAAUAUGGAACGUCAACGUUCUAGCAGACCUGGCUCUGAAAUAUUGUAUGCCUUGCAAAAACUGAAGGAAAUUCUGCAGCAGAAGAAUAAGCAAUUUGCCUUGUUUGAGUUGGAUGUCCAUUCCUCACAAAACAAUCUUUCUGCUGUCAAGAGUAUGAAGAGUAAUGCAAGUAGUAGCAAGCAUAAAGCUAUAGCUGAGCUGAGAUUCGUAGAAGAAAUUUCAGAGAAUUUCACUGGUGCAGAUGCUGCAGUGAAAAAAGAGGAAAGAGGCAUGCAUAAGGUGAUCAAUGGUGAAAAAUUAUUAACAGAUUCAAGGGCACGGAGUUCAAAUGGGGUAUCAAAGAUGUCACUAGCAAAUACUUCUAGAGGUAAGAUAUAUCGUAAUUCUCAUGAAGGCAAACAGGCUUUGCAGGGCAGUGAAAUCGAACAACUAAGGGAGCGAUUGAAGUUUCUUGAAGAAGAAAGCAAAACAAUGAAGCAAGAGUUUUUGGAGCAUGUGGAAGAAAAGAAAAAGUUUGUGAAAGAGAUAUACAAGCAGUUCCGCACUAUACACCGUUACCUUCAACUUGAAAAUCCAGUAUACGGAGGGAGAGACUUUGAUGGAUCUUUCAUUGCCAACCCUCGUCAGGAGGCAGGACUGGAGACUGGCCUAUCAAAAAUUCUAUGCCAAGAUUCAAUUGCAUGCAAUGUCACCAGGGACCAAAGAACCAAUAUCCUGGCACUAAAGAAAGGUCCUGAAGAAACAUGGGUUCAUGCUCAGAAUGAAUGAAAAAAGCUUGGUACUUUCACCUACAAGUACAAUUUGCUGUUGUGUGCUUGCAGUUUUCUUGCUUGGAUUUGUGAAGAAUUUUAGAUCUAAAUAUUAUAUAAAAUAAGUUGGGCUUCCAUCCUUUACUAAGAGACCCAAAAAUCUAGAAUCAUUCGUAAACAAGACUAAAGAUUGAUAAUUAGCAAGUGUAUUGUAAGAUAGUAUAAAUAUUAGAAUU
rnacentral:misc_RNA from 1 species